rnacentral:rRNA from 1 species
CUGAGACACGGCCCAGACUCCUACGGGAGGCAGCAGUGGGGAAUAUUGCACAAUGGGCGCAAGCCUGAUGCAGCAACGCCGCGUGAGGGACGACGGCCUUCGGGUUGUAAACCUCUUUUAGUAGGGAAGAAGCGAAAGUGACGGUACCUGCAGAAAAAGCACCGGCUAACUACGUGCCAGCAGCCGCGGUAAUACGUAGGGUGCAAGCGUUGUCCGGAAUUAUUGGGCGUAAAGAGCUCGUAGGCGGUCUGUCGCGUCUGCUGUGAAAACCCGAGGCUCAACCUCGGGCCUGCAGUGGGUACGGGCAGACUAGAGUGCGGUAGGGGAGAUUGGAAUUCCUGGUGUAGCGGUGGAAUGCGCAGAUAUCAGGAGGAACACCGAUGGCGAAGGCAGAUCUCUGGGCCGUAACUGACGCUGAGGAGCGAAAGCGUGGGGAGCGAACAGGAUUAGAUACCCUGGUAGUCCACGCCGUAAACGUUGGGCGCUAGAUGUGGGGACCAUUCCACGGUUUCCGUGUCGCAGCUAACGCAUUAAGCGCCCCGCCUGGGGAGUACGGCCGCAAGGCUAAAACUCAAAGGAAUUGACGGGGGCCCGCACAAGCGGCGGAGCAUGCGGAUUAAUUCGAUGCAACGCGAAGAACCUUACCAACA